GGCCAGUCUUCCCAGGGCCACUCACCCGCGGCCCAUCCUGUUCCUCAUGCCAGGGUGUGGCUCGUGUGAAGCCUGAGAUGCCGCCUCGAGGCACCUGGAGGAUGGGAACGAGGCCGGGCGAGGAGUUGGGAGACCGGGUCCGAGUUCCUCUGUGUGCGUGAGGGAGCGUGGAGCCUCCUUAAGGUUUUGCCGACUUGUCUGUAGCUGUGGGUAACCACCACGGUGCUUUGCAACCUGUGAGGCUCCGGACUCAGGUUUAAAGGGGCUAAGCAGGGCGGUCAGUGUGGAAGGAAGAGUGUUUUGGAAUUACUGCUGCAUCUCCCCUUUUUUCUCACAGUUAAAGAAUCGGAAAGGCAUAAACCACAACACAUCCCUUUCCUCUUCUAAGGUGAUUACAAGAAAAUGGUGAACCAGAAUGGGCUCCAUAGAAAUCAUACAAAUACAUAAAAAUAGAAAGAUAAAUAGUAACAUUUAUUUUUCUUUUCUCCGUCCUUACAAAAAGCUACUUGCAAAACUGCAGCUGAUAGGCUCCAGGCUGCGCUGCGGUGACUAGUAAGAGGAUGAGGUCCUGUUACUUCUUUUUAGCCAGAGACGUGGAUAUAAGUGAGAGGUGAAGCUGUUCAUCUUUGACAUGGGGUCAAGGCAUUUCUGCAGACCUGAGUAUCCCGCAUGUAAAUCACCCUUCUUAUGUAAAUUAUUCCCAGAAAUGUCCUCUACC
rnacentral:lncRNA from 10 species